CCUACGGGCGGCUGCAGUGGGGAAUAUUGGACAAUGGGGGGAACCCUGAUCCAGCCAUGCCGCGUGUGUGAAGAAGGCCCUCGGGUUGUAAAGCACUUUCAGUGAGGAAGAACGCCUGGUGGUUAAUACCCAUCAGGAAAGACAUCACUCACAGAAGAAGCACCGGCUAACUCCGUGCCAGCAGCCGCGGUAAUACGGAGGGUGCGAGCGUUAAUCGGAAUUACUGGGCGUAAAGCGCGCGUAGGUGGCUUGAUAAGCCGGUUGUGAAAGCCCCGGGCUCAACCUGGGAACGGCAUCCGGAACUGUCAAGCUAGAGUGCAGGAGAGGAAGGUAGAAUUCCCGGUGUAGCGGUGAAAUGCGUAGAGUCCGGGAGGAAUGCCAGUGGCGAAGGCGGCCUUCUGGACUGACACUGACACUGAGGUGCGAAAGCGUGGGUAGCAAACAGGAUUAGAUACCCUAGUAGUC
rnacentral:rRNA from 1 species